rnacentral:lncRNA from 1 species
ACCCGAGUCUCCGGCGCAGCGCGGGCGGCUUGCUCCGCUCGCAGGUCAUCCACAGCGGUCACUUCAUGGUGUCGUCGCCGCACAGCGACUCGCUGCCCCGGCGGCGCGACCAGGAGGGGUCCGUGGGGCCCUCCGACUUCGGGCCGCGCAGUAUCGACCCCACACUCACACGCCUCUUCGAGUGCUUGAGCCUGGCCUACAGUGGCAAGCUGGUGUCUCCCAAGUGGAAGAAUUUCAAAGGCCUCAAGCUGCUCUGCAGAGACAAGAUCCGCCUGAACAACGCCAUCUGGAGGGCCUGGUAUAUCCAGUCUCCGUAAGCCCAGCAGGGAAGAGGACCUCCUGGCCCCUAAGCAGGCGGAAGGCAGGUGGCCGCCGCCGGAGCAAUGGUGCAAACAGCUCUUCUCCAGUGUGGUCCCCGUGCUGCUAGGGGACCCAGAGGAGGAGCCGGGUGGGCGGCAGCUCCUGGACCUCAAUUGCUUUUUGUCCGACAUCUCGGACACUCUCUUCACCAUGACUCAGUCCGGCCCUUCGCCCCUGCAGCUGCCGCCUGAGGAUGCCUACGUCGGCAAUGCUGACAUGAUCCAGCCGGACCUGACGCCACUGCAACCAAGCCUGGAUGACUUCAUGGACAUCUCAGCAGUGGGACCCUGGGCCCGGAGGUGCCCCCGGCUUCCUCGGCCAUGACCCACCUCUCCGGACACAGCCGUCUGCAGGCUCGGAACAGCUGCCCUGGCCCCUUGGACUCCAGCGCCUUCCUGAGUUCUGAUUUCCUCCUUCCUGAAGACCCCAAGCCCCGGCUCCCAACCCCUCCUGUACCCCCACCUCUGCUGCAUUACCCUCCCCCUGCCAAGGUGCCAGGCCUGGAGCCCUGCCCCCCACCUCCCUUCCCUCCCAUGGCGCCACCCACUGCUUUGCUGCAGGAAGAGCCUCUCUUCUCUCCCAGGUUUCCCUUCCCCACCGUCCCUCCUGCCCCAGGAGUGUCUCCGCUGCCUGCUCCUGCAGCCUUCCCACCCACCCCGCAGUCUGUCCCCAGCCCGGCCCCCACCCCCUUCCCCAUAGAGCUUCUACCCUUGGGGUAUUCGGAGCCUACCUUUGGGCCUUGCUUCUCCAUGCCCAGAGGCAAGCCCCCCGCCCCAUCCCCUAGGGGACAGAAAGCCAGCCCCCCUACCUUAGCCCCUGCCACUGCCAGUCCCCCCACCACUGCGGGGAGCAACAACCCCUGCCUCACACAGCUGCUCACAGCAGCCAAGCCGGAGCAAGCCCUGGAGCCACCACUUGUAUCCAGCACCCUCCUCCAGUCCCCAGGGUCCCCGGCAGUGAACGGCGGCUGUCAGGGGACCUCAGCUCCAUGCCAGGCCCUGGGACUCUGAGCGUCCGUGUCUCUCCCCCGCAACCCAUCCUCAGCCGGGGCCGUCCAGACAGCAACAAGGUGGGCACCAUCCCCCACCCCAAGAUCGGUUUGCUACCCCCAGGCCCUCCUGGGCUCCUUCCUAGGCUCACCCAACUCUCUGCUCCCCGAGACCGAGAACCGGCGUAUCACACACAUCUCCGCGGAGCAGAAGCGGCGCUUCAACAUCAAGCUGGGGUUUGACACCCUUCAUGGGCUCGUGAGCACACUCAGUGCCCAGCCCAGCCUCAAGGUGAG